UCUCUAGAAGCGUUGCAGGUGUGGCUGCCGUGUCACAGGUGUGUCAGCAGAGAGGUGAGAGGCCGUGUCUACACUCGGUGCUCUGACCUGUGAGAUACGGCCGCCAGU
rnacentral:snoRNA from 1 species